UAUUGAUGAUGUGAAGUGAGGACUUACAGUAUACACAAAGAAGUGAAGAUCUCUGGAAAUGGCUAAAAUAAAGGAGAAAAAAGAAAGAAAAACAUGAGGGGACACAUAUUCCAGUAGAGGUUCACCAUCUCAAAUAUAAAAAAGCAAAUGCUGGAGAAAGUGAGGAGAAAUAAAGAGAGGUAAGAAUUAGUCAAUUUGAGAAAUUCCAGGACAAAC
rnacentral:lncRNA from 10 species